rnacentral:rRNA from 1 species
CCUACGGGAGGCAGCAGUGAGGAAUAUUGGUCAAUGGACGCAAGUCUGAACCAGCCAAGUAGCGUGCAGGAUGACGGCCCUCCGGGUUGUAAACUGCUUUUAGUUGGGAGUAAAAGGGGGCUCGUGAGCCCCGUAUUGUAUGUACCAUCAGAAAAAGGACCGGCUAAUUCCGUGCCAGCAGCCGCGGUAAUACGGAAGGUCCGGGCGUUAUCCGGAUUUAUUGGGUUUAAAGGGAGCGUAGGCCGGCUUUUAUGUCAGCUGUGAAAGUCCGCGGCUCAACCGUGGAAUUGCAGUUGAAAUUGGAGGCCUUGAGUGCACACAGGGAUGCUGGAAUUCAGGGUGUAGCGGUGAAAUGCUUAGAGAUCAGGAAGAACUCCGAUCGCGAAGGCAGGUGGCCGGGGUGCAACUGACGCUGAGGCUCGAAAGUGCGGGGAUCAAACAGGAUUAGAUACCCUAGUAGUC